rnacentral:rRNA from 1 species
GCGUAAAGAGCUCGUAGGCGGUUUGUCGCGUCUGCUGUGAAAGCCCGGGGCUCAACCCCGGGUCUGCAGUGGGUACGGGCAGACUAGAGUGCAGUAGGGGAGACUGGAAUUCCUGGUGUAGCGGUGAAAUGCGCAGAUAUCAGGAGGAACACCGAUGGCGAAGGCAGGUCUCUGGGCUGUUACUGACGCUGAGGAGCGAAAGCAUGGGGAGCGAACAGGAUUAGAUACCCUGGUAGUCCAUGCCGUAAACGUUGGGCACUAGGUGUGGGGGACAUUCCACGUUUUCCGCGCCGUAGCUAACGCAUUAAGUGCCCCGCCUGGGGAGUACGGCCGCAAGGCUAAAACUCAAAGGAAUUGACGGGGGCCCGCACAAGCGGCGGAGCAUGCGGAUUAAUUCGAUGCAACGCGAAGAACCUUACCAAGGCUUGACAUUCACCGGACCGCCCCAGAGAUGGGGUUUCCCUUCGGGGCUGGUGGACAGGUGGUGCAUGGUUGUCGUCAGCUCGUGUCGUGAGAUGUUGGGUUAAGUCCCGCAACGAGCGCAACCCUCGUUCUAUGUUGCCAGCACGUGAUGGUGGGGACUCAUAGGAGACUGCCGGGGUCAACUCGGAGGAAGGUGGGGAUGACGUCAAAUCAUCAUGCCCCUUAUGUCUUGGGCUUCACGCAUGCUACAAUGGCCGGUACAAAGGGUUGCGAUACUGUGAGGUGGAGCUAAUCCCAAAAAGCCGGUCUCAGUUCGGAUUGAGGUCUGCAACUCGACCUCAUGAAGUCGGAGUCGCUAGUAAUCGCAGAUCAGCAACGCU